UGCAUUCUCACUCGGUCCCUUUUAUUGGCCACAAGAUCUGGACUACAGCGCCAUCUCUUGACCAUUUCAGAACACAACACACUGAACGCCCGAUGAUCGCCUGGAGCUCGCUCUCCGAAAGCGUCUGAGCAAAUGUUCAAAUCUUUAUUAAGCGAGCGCAUAUUUGAACUAAAAACAGAUACAUUCUCGCAUGAACAACUCUUAAAGCUACAUUUCAAGACCAAAUAACAGUAUUGUGUGCCUUUUACUGCGCUACGCAUGAAACACAGCUGUCAUAUAUGGACUAGAUUUGUCUUAAUUACUUCAGCAGACAUUCCCCGCUUCCUUAAUUGAAUGUUUUUCAAAUAUAUUUAUGCUAACUUAAAAUAAGACGUCUUCGUCUCAGUAUCGCUGCGGAGAUGGGCACUAGAUGGCGCCAUUGGUCAUACAACUUUGUCUACUAAACUCAUUUCAGACAUUUAAGCAUCCGCCUUCAGAUCAGAAGUUUUUUGAAAUAAUGAGAAACGUUUCACUCAAGUGUCCAAACACUUUUGACCGGUGCUAUUCUUAUUAGGCUUGUUCGAGUUGACCCACACUAGCCUGCCACCGACUGGCGAGAUCAGCCGAUUGCUGGCGAGACAAGAGCCGUCACAUCGGACACUUCCUGCUUCCCAUAGGGAGCUGAACCUACAGCAGACCACGUGAUAUUCAUCGGCGCUCGCUCUCCAUUGUGAGGCUGGGGACGGGAGCCAAUCGCGUCGCGGAAUGAGAAUGGACACGGCCACUCAGCGCGAUCACACCCUUUGAGAGAUUGGAUGACGAGCGCAGGUAGCGGAUAAAUCAGCAAACAGCCUGCCCCUGCCGCUCAGUCUCCUGCUGAACCUCCACAGUCUGGGUCUUCAGAAACGGCUCCUGCCCCACGAUCAUUCCUGAGGCCUCCUCCAAGUUUGUCAAUGUCACACUUUGGCGGCUCCCAGUUGGCUUCACUGAAGCCCAAUUUAGUAGAUCGGAAGCCCUCUCCUUCUUCAUCCUCUUUGAGGCUCCCCACCCCAUCUCCUUCAUCUGUGAGGACCGCCACCCUCUCUCCAUCCUCUUUGAGGAGCCACAGUCCUGGUUCAUCCUCUGAGAGGCUGCUGUCUGUGUAUGGCAGGAACAUCCUCUCCUAAAUUGAUCAAAUGAAGGCCAGCAUCACAGUCAUCUUUGGUAAUAUCUUAAAGAUGGAUUCCACCAAGCAGGUAAUAAACAGUCAGACUAUGUUAUACACCAAGAUGUUCUCAAAUACUAACACACUGUAAGACCCUACCAGUCGUUUCUAACACUGUUGCCAGCUAGUUAUUGUAGCUCUUAUUGAGGUUUAAACGUUGAAUUGUUGUUAGUCAUUAUUAGUGUUUGUUUUAGUUGAGCUGUUGAAUCGUAUUAUUAAUGUGAAUUCUUCCUGAACGUGUGUUCUAAACAAUGUUACUUUAUGGUGGAAGAUUGUUGCGAAGUGGUGUGUCUCAAAUGAACGAUGUGCUUCAGCUUUAGUCGUUUACAAAAAGUGCUGAUCUGAUAAAUACACAAAAAUUCAACUAUUGCACUAGCAGUAUACACCGAGACAUCAGCAAUCCACACUUGAAUCUCGACAAUGGUGACAAUCAACUAAACCGCUUCAUGCUGCAAUGCUUGCUGUGCGCAUAGUUCAAAACUUAUCCAUGAUUGUUUUCCACCAUUAAUGAGGUUUGUUGGUCGAGUGUAUAAGUGUGCCUCAAUGGCCAAUAACUCAUAUUACAGAGAGCUUUCCAUCAGCUGGAACCAUAAAUGUUAAAUUAUGAUUUAAAUCAGAUGCAAUUUCAGCUAUGAGGCAAACAUUUAUAAAUUGAACAGCUUUUCAAUAUGAUUGAAUAAGUGUACGUUACAAAACACUAAUGCAGUUACUGAAAAAUAUGAAUCAAAUAGCAAUUCAAAAGAAGGUCAAGGUUCAAGAGUCAAACCAAAGCACACACUGAUCACCAGCAUGGAUACUUCAACCAACAAUGGAAAUUCUGUGUUCAUUUGCUCACCUUCAAGAGUCUGCAUACAUUUCUUUGUUCUGAUGAAUACAGAGAAAGAUAUUUGGAAGAAUGCUUAUAAGAAAACAGAUCUCAACACCCAUUGACUACCAUAGAAAAACAUGUA